CAAUCUUCAGUUUCUAUCUCGAGAACUUCUCUUCAGCCGCUCUCUCUCUUCUCUCGCCCUCUCAUUUCUCUUCGUCAAUCCUCUCAGUUUUCUCAUCGCCAUAGAGAAUUCGAGAUCCCCAAGGACUAGAUCAGUAGAUCGAUCAAGCUCACGAGGCUAAGGUCUCGGUUGGGUCAUGAAGACCAGAUCGAUGGCCAGGGAUCUGAGCGAGAUAGUGAAGGAGAUUCUCUCGGUUGGGUGCUGGGUCGAAGGCAAGGAUCUGUAGGAUUUUCAUCGUAGAUUAUCCAGGAGAUUACCGACGGCGAUGUUGAGGUGCUGUACCAAUCUUUAUAUUCGUCAGUGAUACAUCUUCUGCACCUUGGUAUCUUAAUGCCGAAAGACCUCUUGAAACAUCCAAGGAAAUGGAAAUCAGAUCCAGAUUGCUGUUGAAACUGAUGAUGUCUUCAAAAGUGCUUGCUGCUUAGCUUUUUCUAGACCAAGAUGGUUGGAAAACUUACAAUUACAGAAUCAACUCAAGCUGGGGAACUUAUCAAUGGUUCAAAACUGAUGACAGUUAAAUUUUCUCUCUAUCAAUCUUUUUGAGAGGAAAAAGAAUAUAGACUUGGCGAUUUCAGCUUUUGCCAUGCUUCGCACCCUUGAAGGAGAUGUGCUUCAUGGUCUUAAUCUGGCUGAAGCUUCCUUGACAAUUGCAG